UUUUAAAUCCAGAAAAGGUCCACGGGCUAACUUACGUGCCAAGCAGGCCGCGGUAAUUACGUUAGGUGGCAAAGCGUUAUCCCGGAUUUAUUGGGGCGUAAAGCGAGCGCAGGCGGUCUUUUAAGUCUAAUGUGAAAGCCUUCGGGCUCAACCGAAGAAGUGCAUUGGAAACUGGGAGACUUGAGUGCAGAAGAGGACAGUGGAACUCCAUGUGUAGCGGUGAAAUGCGUAGAUAUAUGGAAGAACACCAGUGGCGAAGGCGGCUGUCUGGUCUGCAACUGACGCUGAGGCUCGAAAGCAUGGGUAGCGAACAGGAUUAGAUACCCUGGUAGUCCAUGCCGUAAACGAUGAUUACUAAGUGUUGGAGGGUUUCCGCCCUUCAGUGCUGCAGCUAACGCAUUAAGUAAUCCGCCUGGGGAGUACGACCGCAAGGUUGAAACUCAAAAGAAUUGACGGGGGCCCGCACAAGCGGUGGAGCAUGUGGUUUAAUUCGAAGCUACGCGAAGAACCUUACCAGGUCUUGACAUCUUCUGACAGUCUAAGAGAUUAGAGGUUCCCUUCGGGGACAGAAUGACAGGUGGUGCAUGGUUGUCGUCAGCUCGUGUCGUGAGAUGUUGGGUUAAGUCCCGCAACGAGCGCAACCCUUAUUACUAGUUGCCAGCAUUAAGUUGGGCACUCUAGUGAGACUGCCGGUGACAAACCGGAGGAAGGUGGGGACGACGUCAAAUCAUCAUGCCCCUUAUGACCUGGGCUACACACGUGCUACAAUGGAUGGUACAACGAGUCGCGAGACCGCGAGGUUAAGCUAAUCUCUUAAAACCAUUCUCAGUUCGGACUGUAGGCUGCAACUCGCCUACACGAAGUCGGAAUCGCUAGUAAUCGCGGAUCAGCAUGCCGCGGUGAAUACGUUCCCGGGCCUUGUACACACCGCCCGUCACACCAUGAGAGUUUGUAACACCCAAAGCCGGUGGGGUAAC
rnacentral:rRNA from 1 species